rnacentral:tRNA from 1 species
GGUUCUUAGAUUAGGUUAUUUUGAAAAUAAUUGAAGGGCAGUAAUAUUUGUCCAAGAGCUU